UUUCAGAAGGCAGCACCAUCAGUAAGGAAUGAAUUCCAACUCUAGAUGCGCGCGCAAUGACGGUGAAACAAAGGGGCAGAACAAUAUGCCUAUUGUGUACGCUCUGAACAUCAGAAGAUCUACUGAAAAAAGGUGUAAAUGGAGUGCCGAGUGUGUAGCUUCUUCUAUGAGAAGUAGGAAACGCAAAACCCAAAGCAUAUUCUGUGAAGUAGGCAGGGCAAAUUGCAAACUCAAACUCUGACCUACCUGACCUUAAGAGCGUGUUUGGAUAUAUGUGACCAGGAUAUGUGAUCAAGGUAGC
rnacentral:lncRNA from 7 species